CCUACGGGUGGCUGCAGUGGGGAAUAUUGCACAAUGGAGGAAACCCUGAUGCAGCAACGCCGCGUGAGUGAAGAAGUAUUUAGGGAUUUAAAGCUCUAUCAGCAGGGAAGAGAAUGACGGUACCUGACUAAGAAGCCCCGGCUAACUACGUGCCAGCAGCCGCGGCAAUACGGAGGGGGCAGGCGUUAUCCGGAUUUUCUGGGUGUAAAGGGGGCGUAGUCGGCUGGCCAAGUCUGAAGGGAAAGCCGGGGGCUUAACCCCGGAACGGCUUUGGAAAUUGGCCGGCUGGAGUGCUGGAGAGGCAGGCGGAAUGCGUGGUGUAGCGGUGAAAUGCGUAGAUAUCAGGAGGAACACCGGUGGCGAAGGCGGCCUGCUGGACAGUAACUGACGUUGAGGCUCGAAAGCGUGGGGAGCAAACAGGAUUAGAUACCCCUGUAGUC
rnacentral:rRNA from 1 species